rnacentral:rRNA from 1 species
ACACAUGCAGUCGAGCGGCAGCACAGAGGACUUGUUCCUUGGGUGGCGAGCGGCGGACGGGUGAGUAAUGCCUAGGAAAUUGCCCUGAUGUGGGGGAUAACCAUUGGAAACGAUGGCUAAUACCGCAUGAUGCCUACGGGCCAAAGAGGGGGACCUUCGGGCCUCUCGCGUCAGGAUGUGCCUAGGUGGGAUUAGCUAGUUGGUGAGGUAAUGGCUCACCAAGGCGACGAUCCCUAGCUGGUCUGAGAGGAUGAUCAGCCACACUGGAACUGAGACACGGUCCAGACUCCUACGGGAGGCAGCAGUGGGGAAUAUUGCACAAUGGGCGCAAGCCUGAUGCAGCCAUGCCGCGUGUAUGAAGAAGGCCUUCGGGUUGUAAAGUACUUUCAGUCGUGAGGAAGGUGGUGUUGUUAAUAGCAGCAUCAUUUGACGUUAGCGACAGAAGAAGCACCGGCUAACUCCGUGCCAGCAGCCGCGGUAAUACGGAGGGUGCGAGCGUUAAUCGGAAUUACUGGGCGUAAAGCGCAUGCAGGUGGUGGAUUAAGUCAGAUGUGAAAGCCCGGGGCUCAACCUCGGAACCGCAUUUGAAGCUGGUUCACUAGAGUACUGUAGAGGGGGGUAGAAUUUCACGUGUAGCGGUGAAAUGCGUAGAGAUCUGAAGGAAUACCGGGUGGCGAACGCGGCCCCCUGGACAGAUACUGACACUCAGAUGCGAAAGCGUGGGGAGCAAACAGGAUUAGAUACCC